GACGAACGCUGGCGGCGUGCUUAACACAUGCAAGUCGAACGGAAAGGCCCUGCUUGCAGGGUACUCGAGUGGCGAACGGGUGAGUAACACGUGGGUGAUCUGCCCUGCACUUCGGGAUAAGCCUGGGAAACUGGGUCUAAUACCGGAUAGGAGCCAUUUUUAGUGUGAUGGUUGGAAAGUUUUUUCGGUGUAGGAUGAGCUCGCGGCCUAUCAGCUUGUUGGUGGGGUAAUGGCCUACCAAGGCGGCGACGGGUAGCCGGCCUGAGAGGGUGGACGGCCACAUUGGGACUGAGAUACGGCCCAGACUCCUACGGGAGGCAGCAGUGGGGAAGAUUGCACAAUGGGCGCAAGCCUGAUGCAGCGACGCCGCGUGGGGGAUGACGGCCUUCGGGUUGUAAACUCAUUUCGCUAGGGACGAAGCUUUUUGUGACGGUACCUAGAUAAGAAGCACCGGCUAACUACGUG
rnacentral:rRNA from 1 species